rnacentral:rRNA from 1 species
GACGAACGCUGGCGGCGUGCUUAACACAUGCAAGUCGAACGGAGAGGCCCUGCUUGCAGGGUGCUCGAGUGGCGAACGGGUGAGUAACACGUGGGUGAUCUGCCCCUUACUUUGGGAUAAGCCUGGGAAACUGGGUCUAAUACUGGAUAGGACCAUGCUGUAGGUGAUGUGGUGGAAAGAUUAGUUUCGGUAAGGGAUGAGCUCGCGGCCUAUCAGCUUGUUGGUGGGGUAAUGGCCUACCAAGGCGUCGACGGGUAGCCGGCCUGAGAGGGUGGACGGCCACAUUGGGACUGAGAUACGGCCCAGACUCCUACGGGAGGCAGCAGUGGGGAAUAUUGCACAAUGGGCGCAAGCCUGAUGCAGCGACGCCGCGUGGGGGAUGACGGCCUUCGGGUUGUAAACUCCUUUCAGCCAUGACGAAGCCCUUGUGGUGACGGUAGUGGUAGAAGAAGCACCGGCUAACUACGUG